rnacentral:miRNA from 1 species
UAACUUCGAGGAGUUCCUCUGAACAAUUCCUCAACAAUUUAAUAAGUUCCUUAAAAAGUUCCUAACUUCCUGUUUCAUUGAACAAUCAGAUUGCUCAAAACUAAAACAUAUAAAAUUUGAUUGGUCAAUGAAACAGGAAGUUAGGAACUUUUUAACGAACUUAUCAAAUUGUUGAGGAAUUGUUCAGGGGAACUCCUCGAAGUUA